GACGAACGCUGGCGGCGUGCUUAACACAUGCAAGUCGAGCGGCGCGGCGAACGGGUGAGUAACGCGUGAGUAACUGCCCCCCUCUCGGGGAUAAAAGUUGGAAACGGCUGCUAAUACCGGAUAGUGGGGGAUGACUCGCGUCCUAUCAGCUUGUUGGGGGGGUAGUGGCCUACCAAGGCGAAGACGGGUAGCCGGCCUGAGAGGGCGACCGGCCACAUUGGGCUGAGAGAGUGCCCAAACUCCUACGGUAGGCAGCAGUGGGGAAUAUUGCACCAGGGGGGAAACCCUGAUGCAGCAACGCCGCGUGCGGGAUGACGGCCUUCGGGUUGUAAACCGCUUUCAGCCAUGACGCGUUAGUGGCAGAAGAAGCACCGGGUAACUUCGUGCCAGCAGCCGCGGUAAUAC
rnacentral:rRNA from 1 species